UCCCCCAGUCAGGACAGUACAGGGCACCACCUGGCUUUUGUGUUCUGUCUGAAUCAGAGGAUCUGGAGCUUUUGUUGCUUGCUGUUAAUAACUUGGAAAAGUGACGUUCAAAGGUAGCAGAUGUUUCUUCUUCUAACUUAAUGUGAUUAUUAUACCUUAGAGUCACAUAGAGAGGGAGCAGCGGUCCUCCAGGCAGCAGAAGCAAGAUGAUGCGAGCGGGAGCUAGGCAGUAUGUAGUGGCCAGGCCGCUGUACUCGGAGGAUUCAUUCAACGAGGAGCAUGAGAAGGUGUACAGGCACCACAAGACAAUGCUGGACCACAUUAAACUGUACUUCAGAUGUGAUGCCAAACGAGUCAAGAACGCAGCUCUGUCUCUCCUGCCAGUCAUCAGCUGGAUGAAAAUCUACAGAAUCAAAGAGUGGCUGUUCAGUGACAUUGUGUCUGGUAUCAGCACAGGACUGGUGGCUGUCCUGCAAGGUCUAGCUUACUGCUUGCUGGCCUCUCUGCCUCCCUGGUAUGGACUCUUUGCUGCCUUCUUUCCAGUUGUCAUCUACUUUUUCUUGGGCACCUCAAGACACAUCUCAGUGGGUCCUUUUCCGGUCUUGUGCCUGAUGAUUGGCUCGGUGGUAACUAGGCUUGUUCCAGACGAAGGGCCAGCUGCCAACAUCACUGGGUUUGAAGGUCUGACAAGAGACGAACAGAGAGUGUUGGUGGCCUCCUCUCUGGCCUUCCUCACGGGUAUCAUGCAGCUGGCAAUGGGAAUACUACAGGUGGGCUUCGUUGUCAUGUACCUGUCCGACACCCUGGUCUCCGGUUUCACCACAGCUGCUGCCAUUCAUAUCCUGGUUUCUCAGUUAAAGUUUGUGUUGGGGCUCCAGGUUCCGGGCAUCAGUGGACCACUUGCCCUCAUAUAUACUCUGGAGAUCAUUUUUAAGAAGAUCACCUCCAGCAACGUGUGUGACAUUGUGAUCUCCCUCGUGAUCAUGGUGGUGGUGUUCAUUGUGAAAGAGCUAAACGACAGAUUCAAAUCCAAACUGCCUGUGCCCAUCCCGAUAGAGGUUAUCAUGACUGUUAUUGCUUGUGGAGUUUCUUAUGCGUUUGACUUUAAGACAAGAUAUGGCGUUGAUGUUGUUGGCCAAAUUCCCAGAGGAUACGAGCCUCCAGUGGCCCCAAACCUUCACAUUUUCCAGGAGACAGCGAUGGAAGCUUUUCCAAUGGCUAUUGUUGGCUUUGCUGUGGCAUUUUCUGUGGCAAAAGUCUUUUCUAUAAAACAUGAUUACACAAUAGACGGGAACCAGGAGUUGAUAGCCUUUGGAGUAAGCAACAUUUUUGGAGCAUCCUUCAAGGCGUUUGCAGCGAGUACAGCUCUUUCCAGGAGUGCAGUACAAGAAAGUACUGGAGGAAAAACUCAGGUUGCUGGUAUAAUAUCAGCUAUUAUAGUAAUGAUUGUCACUUUGGCCAUUGGAUAUCUACUAGAGCCUUUACCAAAGUCUGUGCUGGGUGCUGUGGUUAUCAUCAACCUGAAGGGCAUGCUUUUGCAGUUCAAGGAAAUUCUGUACCUGUGGAGGAGAGAUAAGCCAGAUUGUGUGGUGUGGGUGGUGACCUUUUUAGCAGCCACCUUGAUGGGGCUGGACCUUGGAUUGGCUGUAGGUCUUGGUGUGGAGCUGAUCUGCGUCGUCCUCAGGGUUCAGUUCCCUCGCUGCAGUGUGCUGGCCAACAUUACAGGGACAGAUAUUUACAAAGACAGAAAGGACUAUAUUAGUGUAUAUGAACCAGAAGGGGUGAAAAUCUUCAGAAUCCCAUCCCCAAUCUUCUUUGCCAACAUGGACUUCUUUAAAAACAAUCUAGUGCAAGCUCUUGGCUUCAAUCCACUGAGAGUGUUGAAGAAAAGGAACAAAGCCCUGAGUAGGAUCAGAAAACUUCUGAAGAAAGGUGACUUGCAGUGGACAUCGAAAGGGUUCCUAAAUACAACAAAUGGAUCCAUAAAGGAAUCAGAAGAAGACAGCAAUUCCGAGGAGCUGGACCAGCCGAUUGACCUUAAGGACUUUCCCACCCGCAUUGACUGGAACGCUGCGCUUCCUGCCAACAUCGUUGUUCCCCGUGUGGAGAUCCACAGCUUGGUUUUGGAUUUUGCCGCUGUCUCCUUUUUGGAUAUAUCUGCUCUGAAGGGACUCAAAACAUUGCUGAAAGAACUGAUCCGUGUUGAAGUUGAGGUCUACAUUGUAGCUUGUGAUCAGUACAUCUUGGAGAAACUCCACAACUGUUGCUUCUUUGAUGAAGAAGUUCAGCCCUCCAUUUUCUUCCUAACUCUGCAUGAUGCCAUCCUGCACAUUCUGGAGACACAUCCAGAGACGACAGAAUACAAGCAUGAUAAGAUACUAACAACAGUGACUGUUCACCAUUCGGGCAGCAGUUUGAGGAUCAGAGAUAACAAUAAAAUCCAGUACAGCCAACUGCAAACAUAGCCAUCCACCUGAACUGACAGGCUGAGCAAGGAGAGAGAGCCAGCCGGGAAGCCCAUGGUAACUCUGGAGAGGUUGCAGAGAUGCAUAGCUCAGGGUCCAGACCCAGGUGUGGAGUCCAGGUUUUAACCAGGUCAGAAGGAAAUGAUGGGAAGAAAAAGCAAAAACAAAAUGACCUUAAGAGUAUAUAUUUUAUACAUUUUGCUAUUUAUCUUACAGAAUUAAUAAUGUAUGUUUUAGAGCUCACCUGACAAAUUAUUCUAAAUUCAUUGCACAGUGUCUGUGCUGAUAUUUAUGUAUGAUUCAGUCAACCCAAUCAAAAAGAAAGAUUCAAAUUCAAUUCUGAGCAUUCCACAGUAGGUGAAUCCAGGGGUCCUGGAUGGACUGCCUUUAAUCUGUUCCACUUUUCCAUCUUUCACACAGUAGAAUGACUACCUUCAAAUAGUUUGGAGGCAGCCCUAUAACCCUUCCCAGAUUGAUGGGUAGCAACAGUUGUUUCUCUAAGGUCAUUGCUGAUGACUUUCCAUCCCGGUAUUGUGCUGACACAAACCUGUAUGCUCAAGACCAGCAAACAGCCAGAACUACUGCUUGUACAGAAUUGGUUGCAUUGAUGAUGAUCAGUUUGUUAGUGCAUUUGACGAUCAGCUUCUUCCUUCCUAAUAAAUUCAUGUAAAAUCACUAGCAAUAGACCUUUUGUAAUAUGUCAUGUCUGUUGUUUAUCUAAGCUUGUAUUUACCACAUUUAAAAAUUUGAUAGUGUUUUUAUAUAAAAGAAAAUGUUUGUGUGA